rnacentral:rRNA from 1 species
CGAACGCUGGCGGCGUGCUUACCACAUGCAAGUCGAACGGUGAAGCGCCUUCCUUUUUGGUGGGUGUGGAUGAGUGGCGAACGGGUGAGUAACACGUGAGUAACCUGCCCCCUUCUUCUGGAUAACCGCAUGAAAGUGUGGCUAAUACGGGAUAUUCUGGGUCUGUCGCAUGAUGGGUCUGGGAAAGAUAUUGUUUCGGUGGGGGAUGGGCUCGCGGCCUAUCAGCUUGUUGGUGGGGUGAUGGCCUACCAAGGCGGUGACGGGUAGCCGGCCUGAGAGGGUGGACGGUCACACUGGGACUGAGACACGGCCCAGACUCCUACGGGAGGCAGCAGUGGGGAAUAUUGCACAAUGGGCGCAAGCCUGAUGCAGCGACGCCGCGUGAGGGAUGGAGGCCUUCGGGUUGUGAACCCCUUUCGCCAGUGAAGCAGGCCUGCCUCGUUUGUGGGUGGGUUGACGGUAGCUGGAUAAGAAGCGCCGGCUAACUACGUG